CGGCCGCGGUAUUUUGACCGUGCAAAGGUAGCGCAAUCACUUGUCUUUUAAAUAGAGACCUGUAUGAAUGGCUAAACGAGGGCUUAACUGUCUCCCCUUUCCAGUCAGUGAAAUUGAUCUACCCGUGCAGAAGCGGGUAUAAUAAUACAAGACGAGAAGACCCUUUGGAGCUUAAGGUACAAAACUCAACCACGUUAAGCAACUCAAUAAAAAGUGAAAACUUUGUGGAACAUGAGAUUUUACCUUCGGUUGGGGCGACCACGGAGGAAAAAAGAGCCUCCAGGUGGAACGGGAGAAUUUCCUAAAACUAAGAGAGACAUCUCUAAGCCACAGAACAUCUGACCAAAUAUGAUCCGGCUAAUACAAGCCGAUCAACGAACCAAGUUACCCUAGGGAUAACAGCGCAAUCCUCUCCCAGAGUCCAUAUCGACGAGGGGGUUUACGACCUCGAUGUUGGAUCAGGACAUCCUAAUGGUGCAGCCGCUAUUAAGGGUU
rnacentral:rRNA from 1 species